CGCCUGUUUACCAAAAACAUCACCUCUAGCAUAACAAGUAUUAGAGGCAUUGCCUGCCCAGUGACUAAAGUUAAACGGCCGCGGUAUCCUGACCGUGCAAAGGUAGCAUAAUCACUUGUUCCUUAAUUAGGGACUAGAAUGAAUGGCUAAACGAGGGUUCAACUGUCUCUUACUUUCAAUCAGUGAAAUUGACCUUCCAGUGAAGAGGCUGGAAUACUACAAUAAGACGAGAAGACCCUAUGGAGCUUUAAUUUACUAGUUUAAUUUAUAUAAUAACAACCUAAUGGACCAAGACAAAAUAAAUAUAAACUAAAAAAUUUCGGUUGGGGUGACCUCGGAGAAUAGAAAAUCCUCCGAAUGAUUUUAACCUAGACCUACAAGUCAAAGUAAUAUUAAUAUCUUAUUGACCCAAUUAUUGAUCAACGGACCAAGUUACCCUAGGGAUAACAGCGCAAUCCUAUUUAAGAGUUCAUAUCGACAAUUAGGGUUUACGACCUCGAUGUUGGAUCAGGACAUCCCAAUGGUGCAGAAGCUAUUAAUGGUUCGUU
rnacentral:rRNA from 1 species